rnacentral:snRNA from 1 species
GCCGAUGGUUGCGCAAGCGGAAU